UACGUAGGGUGCAGGCGUUAAUCGGAAUUACUGGGCGUAAAGCGUGCGCAGGCGGUUUCUUAAGUCAGAUGUGAAAGCCCCGGGCUUAACCUGGGAACUGCGUUUGAAACUGGGAGACUUGAGUGUGGCAGAGGGGGGUGGAAUUCCACGUGUAGCAGUGAAAUGCGUAGAGAUGUGGGGAACACCGAUGGCGAAGGCAGCCCCCUGGGCUAACACUGACGCUCAGGCACGAAAGCGUGGGGAGCAAACAGG
rnacentral:rRNA from 1 species